UUAAGGUGGCUCGAUAUAGUUAUUACAAAAACCCUGCUCAAGAAUCGCGAACUCAAAACCGGGUGACCAUUUUUACGCGCAGGUCGCGGAAACUGAUUAACAAAUGAAAAAGAACUUCCAAAAUGACCUGACGUGAGCAAUUGCUCGCGCCAUAUCACGCCAUUGCACGUGUUCUAUAGCAUUUUAUGACAAUUGCUGACGUCAUUAGAAUUUUCCAUUUUAGAAAAACAAUGCGCUAUAUCUCUUUAUUUUGUCUGGUGACUUAUGUUCAAAUUUUGCAUGCUGUAUUGCACUGCUAAAAACUUUCAUUAUACAAAAAAUAAAAAAAUUCUGUAAUGCCAAAAAAAUUUUACCGAAGAAUACGACAUUUUCGCAUUUUCCAAAAAAAUGGCAUUACAGAAUUUUUUUAUAUUUUGCUAAUUGUUAGCUUUUCGUCCAAGUAAAAUAAUGCACGAAAAAAAAUUGAGGGUCACCAUGCUUUUUUUCCAACUAUACGAGGCGAUAGGCCAUUUUGGAGUGAAUUUCGUACACGUAUGUCGCCAUAGCAACGAACUAUCUGUUACUAAAAAUAAUAUAAUUUGAAAGUAGAGUUAUCAAAAUAUAUAAAAAACCCAAUAUCUGCUGAAUAAAUCCUAAAAAUACGUAGUUUGAACAUGUCAAAGUGUUAAACACAUUAAUUUCUGAAAACUGUAUCGAGCCACCUUAACACAUCAAGAAAC